CCUACGUGGGGCAGCAGUGGGGAAUAUUGGACAAUGGGGGAAACCCUGAUCCAGCGACGCCGCGUGAGUGAAGAAGUAUUUCGGUAUGUAAAGCUCUAUCAGCAGGAAAGAAAAUGACGGUACCUGACUAAGAAGCCCCGGCUAACUACGUGCCAGCAGCCGCGGUAAUACGUAGGGGGCAAGCGUUAUCCGGAUUUACUGGGUGUAAAGGGAGCGUAGACGGCAGCGCAAGUCUGGAGUGAAAUGCCGGGGCCCAACCCCGGAACUGCUCUGGAAACUGUGAAGCUGGAGUGCAGGAGAGGUAAGCGGAAGUCCGGGUGUAGCGGUGAAAUGCGUAGAUAUCAGGAGGAACACCAGCGGCGAAGGCGGCUUACUGGACUGUAACUGACGUUGAGGCUCGAAGGCGUGGGGAGCAAACAGGAUUAGAUACCCGAGUAGUC
rnacentral:rRNA from 1 species